GAUGAACGCUGGCGGCGUGCCUAAUACAUGCAAGUCGAGCGAACAGAUAAGGAGCUUGCUCCUUUGACGUUAGCGGCGGACGGGUGAGUAACACGUGGGUAACCUACCUAUAAGACUGGGAUAACUUCGGGAAACCGGAGCUAAUACCGGAUAAUAUUUCGAACCGCAUGGUUCGAUAGUGAAAGAUGGUUUUGCUAUCACUUAUAGAUGGACCCGCGCCGUAUUAGCUAGUUGGUAAGGUAACGGCUUACCAAGGCGACGAUACGUAGCCGACCUGAGAGGGUGAUCGGCCACACUGGAACCGAGACACGGUCCAGACUCCUACGGGAGGCAGCAGUAGGGAAUCUUCCGCAAUGGGCGAAAGCCUGACGGAGCAACGCCGCGUGAGUGAUGAAGGUCUUCGGAUCGUAAAACUCUGUUAUUAGGGAAGAACAUACGUGUAAGUAACUGUGCACGUCUUGACGGUACCUAAUCAGAAAGCCACGGCUAACUACGU
rnacentral:rRNA from 1 species